rnacentral:lncRNA from 1 species
UUUUUUAGGGUAAACUUUAAAUACCACCCAUGUGGUUUCGUAUUUUCUCAUUUCAGUAUCAUGUGAUUUAAAGUGUAUCAAUUUAGUAUCCUGUGAUUUUAUUUUUCUCUUUUUUGUCGGUCUCUCCAUUAACAUUUUAUUAAAUCAUAUACAAAAAAAUCUUUAGAUACCUUAUUUAUAGUUUAUUGAAUAUUCAAUUUAGUUUCUUUUAGUUUUAACUUUAUCACUGAUUUAACGAAAAAAAUUAGUGGAGAGGAUAACAAAAAAAAAAGAAUAAAACUAUAAGGUACGAAAGUAAUAUACAUUAAAUCACAGAGUACUAAAGCAUUAAAGUGCGAAACUACAGGAAUGGCAUUUGAAGUUUGUCUAAUUUUUUACUUCACGUUGCCUAAUUUUUUAUUACCACC